GGUAUUAGGGAAGAAUCAAAUAGCAGGAUUUCUUCAUAGAAUGGGCGGCAUUGGAACAGUCUGCCCAGGCAAGUGGUGGAGUCUCAGUCCCUGAAGGGUGAUAGUUGCCUCAGGUUUGUAUAGAAAGGUGAACAAUCGGCUAGACGAAUUUAUCUACAGUGAUAGUGCAAAGUGAUGUAGAUGCGUGAAGACAUUUUGAGUUGUUCAGCUUUUCUGGAAACCACGAUGAAACUGCUCACCGGUUCAGACAAUGCACCCUUUUGUUCCCCCUGAUUCAGAAAACAACAGGAAGAGAGGAAAGCAGGUUGCCACACGGGGCUUGGAAGAACUGACUGUCUUGUUAGGGUGGGGUUGGAUAUCAGACCUCGGGUUGCACCAUGAGAUAAAACAGGUAUUUGUCCAACCCUAUGCCUUAUGCUGCCAGUCUGACAGCUUGCCUGCAGGCAGCUUUCUCACCUCUUUACCUGCCUCCUGACCUGCCUGAAUGAGUGACUGGGGAAGUUUUGAUUAUCCAGGUAGCCCUGAGGCUUGGGAGAAGCCAUCCCCAAGAGACAAUACUAUCAUUUCCUUCUCUGGUGUGUGUGAAAAACAUGACAUCUCCUUAAGUGGUGAACACUGUCUGUUUUUCACCAUGCAAUAUGCAACCCAAACAGAUGGAUUUUCUGUCUUCAUGUUAUAGGAAAACAUUGUAGAAUAUGUUCAGCAUGCUUCCAAGCAUCUUCUUCCAAGCUGAAGUUCUUCCUGCUGGUGUGUUUUCUGCCUAGAAAUCACCACUUACAGUAAGAUGUCAGUAAACUUACUAAAUUCUUGAUAAAUUAUU